UGCGAUAGCACACAGCCGGUACGCGGAGACACUCUAGCGAGAAAAUAACUUCCAGGAGAGAAACAAAAAAAGUUUGAAUUCCUUCGUUACUUAUCUUACGGAUCGCUGUUCAUUUUGUAACCGAAAAGCGGUUUGAUUUAAGUUCGGUUUAAAUUAAAAUCGAGAAAUAAAAGAAAUAAGUGCGCGUUAAUUCAUGCACUCUCUUGUUUUUUCUCCCUCUCUCUGUUGACUGCGUUCGUGAGUGUUCCAAGCGGCCUGUGCGCUGCGCUGCUGCAGUGUGUUCAGCGCUGCAAUCCAGACUUCUCUCUUAUCUCUCACAUAGGGCCUCCCCUUCACGAUAAAACCGGUUCUUAUUUCUAUUUAGAUAAGGAACUGCAGGUAAUGUGCCUUUCUUCGCCUUGGGACGAGACUGAUUGACAGAGAAGUGCGCCUCGUUUAAGGGGUUUUCCGGCACCCAUUUACUUUCGGAUAAGGGUAUCGCCCACAUCGACCUCCUCUUAACAAUAGAGGCUAGCUGGCACGGCGGAGUUGCCCCUUUACAAGGCGACGGCCUUCCAUGACCCAGUCUAGGUUCUGCAGGGUUCGAGGACCCAACCCCACCCCCACCCCUCCCACCCAUGGACAACACAGAAUGUGGAAGCACAUGACCAGCUGCCAGAAGAAAGAGAAACGGCGAAAAAAGACCGAACAGGCCAAAAGCAGCCGGGAGGAGGCGUCUCCAGUAUAGCGCCAGGCCCAAACCCCGCCCCCGAACUGAGCAAGCGAUGGCUGCGCAAGUCUUCGUACCUCCCGGCCCGGAAGAAGAUCCAGCUGCCGGUGACCCCGUUCUGGAAGGGCGCCCCCUACCCGCGGCCGCUGGUGAAGUACACCUCCGCCCUGCCGCUCAGACGGGCCAGGCUCCGACGCAAGGCGCCCCUCCCCCCGUGCGCCGGCCGGGCCGCUUUCGCCAAGCCCGCGGCCGCGCGUCUCCAAGCCCCGCCCCGGCUCCGCUCCGGCCAAUCCGGGACGUCCCAGAAACCUGCCGCCGCUCAGGAAAG